rnacentral:lncRNA from 1 species
CGCCUUUGAUCUCUGAGUCUUCCACGUGGUACUGCUGGAUGUGUUUCCCAUAGCAGAAGCGGUACGUCCACCAGUCCUUGGUCUUGAGCAGGCAGGGGGCCGUGGCCAUGGGGCGCAGCAGCUCGGCCACCCCGGAGCCGUUGUAGGGUCGCGCUUCGGGGGGGGGCGCGGGGGGGCGGUGAAGGGCGGCGGGGGGCAAACGGCACUCAUAGCGCUGCUGGAACACUGAGGACACCGUCACCACGUCGGGCGUCUGAUGCUGCCCGGCCAGCACGGGCUCCCUCAGGAUCUCGAGCCCGUACGCCAUCUCGCUCAGCUCCCGCAGGUUGAGCGCGGCGUUCCCGGCCCGCAGCGCCGCCAGCAGCGCCAGCGCCAACCCCAGCGCCGCCGCCAUCUUGCCCCGC